GUGAGGAAUAUUGGUCAAUGGACGAGAGUCUGAACCAGUCAAGUCGCGUGAAGGAAGACGGUUCUAUGAAUUGUAAACUUCUUUUGCAGGAGGGUAAAGUGAGCUACGUGUAGUUCAUUGCAAGUACCCUGCGAAUAAGCAACGGCUAACUCCGUGCCAGCAGCCGCGGUAAUACGGCGGAUGCGAGCGUUAUCCGGAUUUAUUGGGUUUAAAGGGUGCGCAGGCGGGUUGAUAAGUCAGCGGUGAAAGUUUGCAGCUUAACUGUAGAAGUGCCGUUGAAACUGUCGAUCUUGAGUGCAAAUGAGGUAAGCGGAAUGUGUUGUGUAGCGGUGAAAUGCUUAGAUAUAACACAGAACGCCGAUUGCGAAGGCAGCUUACUGGGAUGCAACUGACACUGAUGCACGAAAGCGUGGGUAUCAAACAGGAUUAGAUACCCGGGUAGUCC
rnacentral:rRNA from 1 species